rnacentral:lncRNA from 1 species
UGACAUACGUUACAUAUGUGUAAUCAAUCCAGUUCUUUCUAAUGCUGAAUGUAGCAUUUUAUUCACUAUGCCAUAUGGGCAGCCAAGGUAACUGAGAGAAGGAAGGAAGACCUAGGGAACUCAGCGGAGGACCAGAGGGCAGAUGACUUAUCAGAUUCAGCCUUGAACUGCAUUCAGCGUUCCCUCACUGGAGAGCUCUGAGAGGGGCUAUACCAGAAGAGCCUUCCCAUUGCAGAGAAAAUGGGCUUGUCUUGUACCCUGGAAAAGAACACUUUUCCUUUACUCAGCCUUCAGAAUACAAAGGGAAGUGAUAAACAGUGGAUUUUCACUCUACAAGAGGGUAAAAUGACACCAUCCAUUUGAAACAUCUGUGCAGCGUGUGUUACGGCUGAUGUAACAAAUCCAUAGAGAGCACACUGUACUAUUUGUCUGGGUGGGAAAGCCUCCAAAAUGCAAUCUGCAAUGGGGGAUGCCUGAUGGUCCAACGGAACUGCCACAUUUUAGGUACAUCUUGCAUACUUUUCAUUCUCUCUUUUCUCCCUCCUUCACUAUCC